GUCCCUGAAUCUCCGGCCCCUCAGCUGCUCAGGGAGGUAAAUCGCAGGAUGUGCCCUUGUUGGUUCCCAAAUUCCCACAUGACUUUUACUCCUUUCCCAAAGGGAGCCUCCUCCAUGGUUAUUACAUCACCAAACUGCUCCAACCCUUCCUCUGGUUAUUACAUCACUUGGCUGCUCCAACCAGGAAUCGAACUCCCCACGCUUGGUUCCAGAGCCUCCCAAUGUGAUUGUUCCGCCAACUUGGAUGUGCCCUGGG
rnacentral:lncRNA from 1 species